ACGCUGGCGGCGUGCUUAACACGUGCAAGUCGAACGGUGACCCAGGGCUUGCCCUGGUGAUCAGUGGCGAACGGGUGAGUAACACGUGGGCAACCUGCCCCUGACUUCGGGAUAACUCCUCGAAAGAGGAGCUAAUACCGGAUACGACCACUUCGGACAUCCGAUGGUGGUGGAAAGUUUUUCGGUCAGGGAUGGACCCGCGGCCUAUCAGCUAGUUGGUGGGGUAAUGGCCUACCAAGGCGACGACGGGUAGCCGGCCUGAGAGGGCGACCGGCCACACUGGGACUGAGACACGGCCCAGACUCCUACGGGAGGCAGCAGUGGGGAAUAUUGCGCAAUGGGCGAAAGCCUGACGCAGCGACGCCGCGUGAGGGAUGAAGGCCUUCGGGUUGUAAACCUCUUUCAGCAGGGACGAAGCGAAAGUGACGGUACCUGCAGAAGAAGCACCGGCUAACUACGUG
rnacentral:rRNA from 1 species